rnacentral:rRNA from 1 species
CGGCGGACGGGUGAGUAACGCGUAGGAAUCUGCCCAGUAGAGGGGGAUAGCCCGAGGAAACUCGGACUAAUACCGCAUACGCCCUAAGGGGGAAGGCAGGGGAUCUUCGGACCUUGCGCUAUUGGAUGAGCCUGCGUUGGAUUAGCUAGUUGGUAGGGUAAAGGCCUACCAAGGCGACGAUCCAUAGCUGGUCUGAGAGGAUGAUCAGCCACACUGGGACUGAGACACGGCCCAG